GGGGCAGAAAGCUGGUGCUGCGCAGCGAAGGAGAGCUGGACACGUACACCGGGGAUGUUUGCAGCUUUCCAGCACCACAGGGAGGACACAGCCCUGGCCGAGAGGGCAAGCUGCAGGAGGGCUCUGCUUUAUUCAUGCUCACUAUGUGCCAAGGAGAAGCAGGGGACACAAAUCCAGGAGCUGGGCAGGUUCAGGAAGGCAGCACUCAGAGAGACCUUAGGAGACAUCCAGGAGCAGAGCCAGGUUUCAGCUUUCGCUGACGGACUUUUCAAGAUCAUUAAAUAAAUGUCACAGGAACUCUGGAGGUGGCGAGUAAUCAGAGCAACUGGGAGAGCUGAAACGGCUGCAAGGGCAAAGAAAAUAUUUUGCAAAGGAAACAUCGCUGAACUCUUCCACGGAAGACAAAGGAGGUGAAAAAGGAGAAACUUUCUGUUUCAUUUUGAAUGGAUAUUUUUCCGCUCAUGUUGCUUUCCGGAAGACAAAAAAAUGUCAGCAGAAAUGCUUUCAUCAAAAGGUAAUUCUGCUCGAAAUGUCUGGCGGGUGAAGAGAGGCUUUCAUCUCUCGGCUCUCCCCGCUGACGGCCGGGACAAGUCACCUUUUCCAGCAGGGGAGCUGGGAUGGAGCGAGCUGUUUUUUUCAGGGACACCGGCAUCGAGCUGUCCUUGAGGUCAGGCCUUUUUUGCCGGGCACACGCAGUGCUCUGUGCCAGCUCACAGGCAGAAGUAUAAGUGGAAUUUAGGGAGCUUAUUUAUUGGCCUCCUGCUCCAGCCCUUAGUCUGGAAACCAUUUGAGGAAAAUUGAUCGAAUGAUUAUGUUAUGAGUUGUGCUCUUGCCGUUGUUAUUGUCAUAAACUCUUACAGUUCCUCA